GCCCCGCCGGCGACGCCACGCUCCCGGGUCCAUGUCCGGCCUCACUGGAGCCCGGGCACCGCGUAGGCGAGGGGCCGGGCUUCCCUUCGAGAGCCGCGGGGACCCGGGAAUGAAUCUGCCAUUGGACUGAGCACUGACCUGAGAGGCAGUGGAGGCCGCACCUGUAAUGGAACUGGACCCCACAUGCUGCAACUAAAAGUUUGUUUGCUACAACUAAAGAUACAACGAAGAUGGAAGAUCCUGCAUGCUGCGACUAAGAUCUGACGCAGCCAAAAUAAAUAAAAGAAUAACACAAAGGAGGAGGGCAGAGUUUCCAAUUUGAUGACACCAGCAAUAAACAAUCUUGAAGCCAAAAUCUGACAGAGAUGCUUUAAGAAAAGAAGAUUACAGAUCAAUAUCCCUCAUAAAUAUGGAUAUAUAAAUCUUUAACAAAAUGUUAGCAAAUUGAAUCCAGCAAUGUAUAAAAAGAAC
ensembl:lncRNA